GACGAACGCUGGCGGCGUGCCUAAUACAUGCAAGUCGAACGCAUUUUCUUUCACCGUAGCUUGCUACACCGAAAGAAAAUGAGUGGCGAACGGGUGAGUAACACGUGGGUAACCUGCCCAUCAGCGGGGGAUAACACUUGGAAACAGGUGCUAAUACCGCAUAAUUCCAUUUACUGCAUGGUAGAUGGAUGAAAGGCGCUUUUGCGUCACUGAUGGAUGGACCCGCGGUGCAUUAGCUAGUUGGUGGGGUAACGGCCUACCAAGGCUGCGAUGCAUAGCCGACCUGAGAGGGUGAUCGGCCACACUGGGACUGAGACACGGCCCAGACUCCUACGGGAGGCAGCAGUAGGGAAUCUUCGGCGAUGGACGCAAGUCUGACCGAGCAACGCCGCGUGAGUGAAGAAGGUUUUCGGAUCGUAAAACUCUGUUGUUAGAAAAGAACAAGGAUGAGAGUGGAAAGUUCAUCCCUUGACGGUAUCUAACCAGAAAGCCACGGCUAACUACGUG
rnacentral:rRNA from 1 species